UAAUCUGUAUCUAAUCUGCUCAGCAUGCAGCGCGCUCUGUGUUCAUGGCACGAUACGCCCCCAUGUGAUAAGGGCGUUACCCGCCUGUUCACAACGUGUAUAAAACCAGUGCUGAAUAAACGCUGGGGCUCACUUUUGCCCAGCAAGUGACACACGACGUGUCGUCGUCUGCUCCACUCGAUGCAUGGUGUCAGAAGUGGUUAGCAUGGCAAUGCACUUCCUGCACGACGCGUGAAGACCAGCGAUCCUGUGGCGGAAAAUGGAUUUCCUCAAAGCACCGGAGCCGCUCCUUACAACAGGCGACCUGCGCAAGAACUGGCAGCUCUUCAAACAAAGGUUUGAAAUUUUCCUCACGGCGUCAGAGGUCGCAGAAAAGCCUCGGACUGAGUCCAAGAAGACAGCGUUGCUUUUGAGCGUCGCGGGCGCAGAGGCCAUUGAAGUCUUUAACACCUUCACGUUUGCAGCAGGCGAGAAGAACGACGACUAUGCCACAGUGGCGAAAAAAUUUGAUGAGUAUUGCAUUGCCAUGCUGAGCUUUUUCGUGGCACGAAAGGGGCGCCAAGCAAUCCUAGGACUUGAGGCGAGUGAACGCCUGGGACUGAUUUCACGCGUGAACAGCGUGUCGCAAAACAGCUCUGAAGAAGUGGUUGCCAGCUUUCGUCACCUUUUCACUGGCACCGGCUGCGUCAAACGAGUAUACCACAUGGUGCUUCGCAAGGACGCCACGCCAGUGGUUCAGAGACCUCGUCGAGUGCCACUGGCUUUAGAGGAGCCACUUCGGGAGGAGUUGUCACGUAUGGAACAAGCCGGAAUAAUUGCAAAAGUCACUGAGCCAACAGACUGGGUGAGUCCCCUUGUUAUCGUACGAAAGAAAGACGGGAAGCUGCGAGUCUGCAUGGACCCCAGGAAAAUAAAUGAGUGCCUCAAGCGCGAGCACUACGCGAUGCCGAGGCGGGAAGACAUAGAGGCCGAGCUGGCCGGCGCAAGAGUAUUCACUCGCCUAGAUGCAAACGCAGGGUUUCACCAAAUUCCCUUAGAUGACGAGACGUCUAGGAUAUGCACUUUUGCGACACCCUUCGGCCGCUAUCGAUUUUUGCGACUGCCUUUCGGAAUAUCAUCAGCGUCCGAAGUAUUUCAGCAAACCCUAAGUGAAAUUUUUGACGCGUUUCCUGGCGUUAGAGUGUAUGUCGAUGACAUACUCGUGUGGGGCAAUUCCCAACAAGAGCACGACCAACGUCUAAGAUCAGCGCUAGAAGCGGCAGAACGUGCGGGCCUUACGUUCAAUCCAGCAAAGUGCGAGUUUGGCGUUCAACAAAUUGAAUUCCUGGGCGACGUGAUAAACGAAGAAGGAAUCCGUCCAAAUGCAUCCCAUGUUGAGUGCAUGUUGCAGAUGGCACCCCCUAGUGAUAAACUAGCAGUUCAACGCAUGCUGGGUGUCGUGAACUAUUUUGGAAAGUUUUUGCCAACACUAGCAGAAAGGACAACGCUUCUCAGAAGCUUGCUAAAAAAAGACACUGUUUUCGAAUGGUCGGCAAAUCACGAAAAAGAGUGGAGAGCGCUGUGCGACAGCCUUAGCAAGCAGCCCUUGCUAUCAGUUUUUGACCCUGAAAAAGAAACCAGGUUAUCAUGCGAUGCGUCACAAAACGGAAUCGGUGCUGCCUUGCUGCAGUAUCACAACGGUGCAUGGAAACCGGUUGCGUACGCCUCCAGAGUGCUUACUGAUACGCAGCAACGCUAUUCACAAAUUGAAAAGGAAGCAAUGGCCAUAGUUUUCGGCUGCGAGAAAUUUCACCAUUUCAUGUAUGGGCGGAAGGUUGUCGUUGAGACUGACCAUCGUCCGUUGAUCUCCAUAUCGCAGAAGGCGAUCGGUGACAUGCCGCCAAGACUGCAGCGAUUUUUUUUGCGUCUGCUACGCUAUGACAUUUUAAUGCAUUAUGUUCCAGGAAAACAGCUUCUACUGGCGGACAUGCUGUCCAGGGCUUCCGUUAAGGGCGCAGCAGAUAACGCAGACAACAACAACGACGACGUCGAAGUGCACGCAGUCAACUCCACUGGAAUGCGGCUGGUCACCAGCCGAAAUAUUACAGGGACGCUCGCUGCGAACAACUCUACCAGCCGUUCAGGUCGGACAAAGCCGGCGGGUUGACAAACGCCAGCAAAAAGACUACUCAAGAGGGCCACUCGCACCGCUCAACAACGGCGAAACGGUCAGAAUAAAAGACAGCUCAUCAUGGAGAAGAAAGGCUCGGGUUCUUCAGUCGUCUGGUCAACCAAGGUCAUACGUUGUCAUGACUGAAGACGGGCAACUCUUGCGACGCAACCGCGAGCAUCUGCUGCCAACCAGAGAAUCUUUUCGCCUUAGCGGUCCUCCUCACGACGACGAAGGUGUUUUUCAAGAAUACGCUGCCCCUGCCAGCACACAACACGACCCAGAGGCGGCGCAAAACCCAAACAGCACAGCGAGCAUUGUGCCGACAGUUCCGCAACAAGCAGCUGCUCCAAGGACUACAAGACAACGCAGACCACCUCGGCGCUUAAUGUAUGACGCGAACUUUCAACAAGUGCCGUGACUGUAUUCAGUGCUCUGAUCUUUGCUGUAGUUUUGGAUGUGCAGUGAUUCUUUAACUUUCUUUUUGUUCUCCCGAGCUAAAAGCGCUCCUUGUCCUUAGUUUUUUUUUUUUUUCUCGUUACGAAGGGGGGGAUGUAUCGUAAUCUGUAUCUAAUCUGCUCAGCAUGCAGCGCGCUCUGUGUUCAUGGCACGAUACGCCCCCAUGUGAUAAAAAUGGCACGAUACGCACCCGCCUGUUCACAACGUGUAUAAAACCAGUGCUGAAUAAACGCUGGGGCUCACUUUUGCCCAGCAAGUGACA